UGAGUACGAGAUGCUACGGCAUCGAAGCAGUCUAUGUCAUACUUCCAAGAAAAGCUUGCACUGUCAUAAACAAAGAAUGCCUGUACCAUAACCGACACAGGUGGGUAGGUAGAGUAUACUAAGGGGCGCGAGAUAACUCUCUCUAAGGAACUCGGCAAAAUGACUCCGUAACUUCGGGAGAAGGAGUGCCUUAUUUCUAAGGUUGCAAUAACAAGAUCCAAGCAACUGUUUACCAAAAACACAGGUCUCCGCUAAGUCGUAAGACGAUGUAUGGGGGCUGACGCCUGCCCAGUGCCAGAAGGUUAAAGAAGUUGGUUAGCAUUAGCGAAGCUGAUAACUGAAGCCCUGGUGAACGGCGGCCGUAACAAUAACGGUCCUAAGGUAGCGAAAUUCCUUGUCGGGUAAGUUCCGACCCGCACGAAAGGCGUAAUGAUUUGGAUACUGUCUCGGAGAGGGGCUCGGUGAAAUAGACUUGCCUGUGAAGAUGCGGACUACCUGCACCUGGACAGAAAGACCCUAUGAAGCUUUACUGUAGCUUGAGAUUGAAAUUGGACUUUAUUUGCGCAGUAUAGGUGGGAGGCGUUGAGAAUAAUCUUGCGGGAUUGUUGGAGCCAUCAGUGAGAUACCACUCUUGUAAUGUUAGAUUUCUAACUUUGUAUCAUUAUCUGGUCAAAGAACAGUUUCAGGCGGGCAGUUUGACUGGGGCGGUCGCCUCCCAAAGGGUAACGGAGGCGCACAAAGGUUUCCUCUGAACGGGUAGAAAUCGUAUCUAGAGUGUAAAGGCAUAAGGAAGCUUGACUGUGAGACCUACAAGUCGAGCAGGGACGAAAGUCGGUCUUAGUGAUCUGACGGUGCUGAGUGGAAAGGCCGUCACUCAACGGAUAAAAGUUACUCUAGGAUAACAGGCUGAUCUCCCCCGAGAGUUCACAUCGACGGGGAGGUUUGGCACCUCGAUGUCGGCUCAUCGCAUCCUGGGGCGGUAGUCCGUCCCAAGGGUUGGGCUGUUCGCCCAUGAAAGCGGUACGCGAGCUGGGUUCAGAACGUCGUGAGACAGUUCGGUCCAUAUCCGGUGUAGGCGUUAGAAUAUUGAGAGGAGCCUUCUCUAGUACGAGAGGACCGAGAAGGACAUACCUCUGGUGUACCAGUUAUCGUGCCAACGGUAAACGCUGGGUAGCUAUGUAUGGAGUGGAUAACCGCUGAAAGCAUCUAAGUGGGAAGCCCACCUCAAGAUAAGUAUUCUCAUCA
rnacentral:rRNA from 1 species